CCGGCAAAAGACGACAUCAGGCAGAAAGGGGAAGAAGGUGCCGCCGCCCACACCAACACCAUUGUCACAGAAAUGGAAACGGGACCGCAAACAGUCUCUGGAGUCAGCUUAUGUCCCCGUGGUGGUGGAUCCUCGCGGGCAGGAGCCAGACAGUAGUUUCAGGUUCAAUUUCUACAACUCACAGUAUUCCAACUCUCUCAAUCCCUUCUACACCCUGCAGAAACCCACCUGUGGUUACCUGUACCAGAGAGAAACUGACCACACACGGAAAUGCUUUGGCAUUCCUCCCGCAAACCUGGUCUUGUGGCGCAGCACCUACUAAAUCCAAGGCAUCUGGAAGUCCCCACCCUGCACCUUCACUCUGUGGUCCUGGGUCCCAGAGGGAAAAGUCAUUCAUUCCUGGAGAAGCGGCGUAUACCUGGGCUAGCCAGGUAUGCUGUGACAGCUGAGGGAGGCCUCUUCCCAAUAAACUUCAGUCCUUCUUUUUUUCUGGC
rnacentral:lncRNA from 1 species